rnacentral:lncRNA from 1 species
UGUCUUUUCAUUGUUUUGAAAAUCUCACUGUUCUCCAUGCCAUCCAGUCAUGAUCCAGUGAUCAGAAUGUUCCAUUGUCUUUUCAUUGUUUUGAAAAUCUCACUGUUCUCCAUGUCAUCCAGUCAUGAUCCAGUGAUCAGAAUGUUCCAUUGUCUUUUCAUUGUUUUGAAAAUCUCACUGUUCUCCAUGUCAUCCAGUCAUGUUUCAGUGAUCAAAAUGUUCCAUUGUCUUUUCAUUGUUUUGAAAAUCUCACUGUUCUCCAUGUCAUCCAGUCAUGAUCCAGUGAUCAGAAUGUUCCAUUGUCUUUUCAUUGUUUUGAAAAUCUCACUGUUCUCCAUGUCAUCCAGUCAUGACCCAGUGAUCAGAAUGUUCCAUUGUCUUUUCAUUGUUUUGAAAAUCUCACUGUCCUUCAUGUCAUCCAGUCAUGAUCCAGUGAUCAGAAUGUUCCAUUGUCUUUUCAUUGUUUUGAAAAUCUCACUGUUCUCCAUGCCAUCCAGUCAUGAUCCAGUGAUCAGAAUGUUCCAUUGUCUUUUCAUUGUUUUGAAAAUCUCGCUGUUCUCCAUGCCAUCCAGUCAUGAUCCAGUGAUCAGAAUGUUCCAUUGUCUUUUCAUUGUUUUGAAAAUCCCACUGUUCUCCAUGCCAUCCAGUCAUGAUCCAGUGAUCAGAAUGCUCCAUUGUCUUUUCAUUGUUUUGAAAAUUCCACUGUUUUCCAUGCCAUCCAGUCAUGAUCCAGUGAUCAGAAUGUUCCAUUGUCUUUUCAUUGUUUUGAAAAUCCUACUGUUCUCCAUGCCAUCCAGUCAUGUUCCAGUGAUCAGAAUGUUCCAUUGUCUUUUCAUUGUUUUGAAAAUCUCACUGUUCUCCAUGUCAUCCAGUCAUGUUUCAGUGAUCAAAAUGUUCCAUUGUCUUUUCAUUGUUUUGAAAAUCCCACUGUUCUCCAUGCCAUCCAGUCAUGAUCCAGUGAUCAGAAUGUUCCAUUGUCUUUUCAUUGUUUUGAAAAUCUCACUGUUCUCCAUGCCAUCCAGUCAUGAUCAAGUAAUCAGAAUGUUCCAUUGUCUUUUCAUUGUUUUGAAAAUCUCACUGUUCUCCAUGCCAUCCAGUCAUAAUCCAGUGAUCAGAAUGUUCCAUUGUCUUUUCAUUGUUUUGAAAAUCCCACUGUUCUCCAUGCCAUCCAGUCAUGAUCCAGUGAUCAGAAUGUUCCAUUGUCUUUUCAUUGUUUUGAAAAUCCCACUGUUCUCCAUGCCAUCCAGUCAUGAUCCAGUGAUCAGAAUGUUCCAUUGUCUUUUCAUUGUUUGGAAAAUCCCACUGUUCUCCAUGUCAUCCAGUCAUGAUCCAGUGAUCAGAAUGUUCCAUUGUCUUUUCAUUGUUUUGAAAAUCCCACUGUUCUCCA